rnacentral:rRNA from 1 species
UACAGAGGGGCAAGCGUUGUUCGGAAUUACUGGGCGUAAAGGGCUCGUAGGCGGCCAACUAAGUCAGACGUGAAAUCCCUCGGCUUAACCGGGGAACUGCAUCUGAUACUGGAUGGCUUGAGAUUGGGAGAGGGAUGCAGAAUUCCAGGUGUAGCGGUGAAAUGCGUAGAUAUCUGGAGGAAUACCGGUGGCGAAGGCGGCAUCCUGGACCGGCAUUGACGCUGAUGAGCGAAAGCUAGGGGAGCAAACGGGG